rnacentral:piRNA from 1 species
UCCACCUUGAACUCUAAGAUUUCUUGGACAU